GCAUGAGGUUGACUGCAAGAGCGACAUCCGUACGAGCGGAUGAAACAAAAUCUUGUUCGUCAGGUUCGUCGGUUGCAACGGCCUGUGCGAUAUUCAUGAUGCCUACUUCCCCGAAAGUUUCCUGGGGGGACGAUGGGGAGCAAUGCAGCUUUCCC
rnacentral:sRNA from 1 species